ACAAGAGCAAAUGAAGCAAAAUGUUGAGAAUGAAGUGAAGCAUCAAAUAGCUAACUUGUUGAGAGAAAUGUGAUGCUGUAGACUCUACUGACUCAAGUGCUUAAGUUAAAAAUGACUGGAAAUUCAUGAAGAUGUUGCCUUUUUACUUAGAGAGUAGUCUAUUUAAUUUAAAAUUUAUGAAAUGUUAGUAGUUGUAAUAGUUUAAUAUACGGUAUUUGAGAUUUAAAAUGUUGUUGGUAUUAUGUUUCAAUUUUUGUUAUUAAACAUGUAAUGGUUCAUUUAUAUUUAGUGAUUUAGUAUUUUAACUUGUGUCCAAUACCAACGCAUUUACUCUAAUAAAUAUUUUUGUGUUUUAGUU